rnacentral:tRNA from 1 species
ACCUAUCUUGCUCAGUUGGUAGAGCACCUGACUCUUGAUCUUGGGGUUGUGAGUUUGAGUCCCAUAUUGGGUG